CUUCAGCAUAAUCUAUCAUCUGUAUUUCCGCCGGCGCUCAGCCUCAAGAGCUAAGUUUCCUGUCGCGUGGAUGUGGUCAAAGUGUGCUCAAUGCCAUCCACCGUAAUCUGCAGACAUCCCCCGUGUUCCCAGGCUGUCUGCUCGGCUGCCCGAUGCAGGGCACCAAGAUUGUAGACUGCGCGGCCCUCCUGGAGACCGAUGGAAGCUCUCUGGGUCGACAGAUUACAGCUUCUGCGGCAGCUGGAUCCCCCUACUCCCUUCAUCUCCCUGGGGGACGCCCACUACCCAGGGAGAGGAUGCCUGGAAAUAACAGCUGGGGUGCACAGCGGCCAUAAGAGCUGUCUCCAUCCUUCCAGACCUCUGGACCAUGCUGUUCCGGAGUGA
rnacentral:lncRNA from 1 species